rnacentral:rRNA from 1 species
UACGGAGGGUGCGAGCGUUGUCCGGAAUCAUUGGGCGUAAAGGGCGCGUAGGUGGCCCGGUCAGUUCGUGGUGAAAGCGCGGGGCCCAACCCUGCGUCGGCCAUGAAUACUGCCGCGGCUGGAGCACUGUAGAGGCAGGCGGAAUUCCGGGUGUAGCGGUGGAAUGCGUAGAGAUCCGGAAGAACACCGGUGGCGAAGGCGGCCUGCUGGGCAGUUGCUGACACUGAGGCGCGACAGCGUGGGGAGCAAACAGG